rnacentral:rRNA from 1 species
AUUGAACGCUGGCGGCAUGCUUUACACAUGCAAGUCGAACGGCAGCGCGGGCUUCGGCCUGGCGGCGAGUGGCGAACGGGUGAGUAAUGCAUCGGAAAGUGCCCAGUAGUGGGGGAUAGCCCGGCGAAAGCCGGAUUAAUACCGCAUACGACCUGAGGGGGAAAGCGGGGGGCCGAAGGGCCUCGGGCUAUUGGAGCGGCCGAUGUCGGAUUAGCUAGUUGGUGGGGUAAAGGCUUACCAAGGCGACGAUCCGUAGCUGGUCUGAGAGGACGACCAGCCACACUGGGACUGAGACACGGCACAGACUCCUACGGGAGGCAGCAGUGGGGAAUUUUGGACAAUGGGGGCAACCCUGAUGCAGCCAUGCCGCGUGCGGGAAGAAGGCCUUCGGGUUGUAAACCGCUUUUGUUCGGGAAGAAAUCCUCUGGGCUAAUACCCCGUGGGGAUGACGGUACCGGAAGAAUAAGCACCGGCUAACUACGUG